UAAACAUAGGAAAUACACGGGUUAU
rnacentral:piRNA from 1 species